AGACGAGAUUUUACUGAGGAAUGAGCGC
rnacentral:sRNA from 1 species